rnacentral:lncRNA from 1 species
CGCCAUUGUUGUAAAGAGAGACGAUACCCUUACAGAUUUGUUUUCUCGUUUAUGUCAAUUGCUUUCACAGCUAAAGCAUAUAAGUAUAUUCAAAAGAUACAUCUAACUAGUUCCACCGAUUUGUUUAUACUAUAAUGUGCUUAGAUGAUGAUAAUAAUCCAAUGCAGACCUAUUUAAAUUCGGUCCAUUCAGCUUCCCCUCUUUCAAUGCUUUCAAUGCUGUAGAACCGGUGUGGCCCACCAUUUUAUUUUCAUAAAACUUAGAAACUUACGAUAAUAUAUGCAAUUUUAUAGUGUUAUUCUACUCCCGAUUCUUAUCCCGUUAAAAUGAUACUAUUUUCGUUUAUUUUGAUCAAAUAGUGUUUUCAUAAAAUACCAUCAAAGGUGAUUUAUUUAUUUUUCACAUUAGUACUCAAAUCCAGCUAUGCGAGAACUACCUUUUUUUCAUAAAACUUAGAAACUUACGAUUAUAAAUGCAAUUCCAUAGUGUUAUUCUUUUCCCGAUUGUUAUCUUGUUAAAAUGAUACUGUUUUCGUAUACUUUGAUUAAAUAGUGUUUUCAUAAAAUACCAUCAAAGGUGAUUUAUUUUGUUCACAUUGAGACCCAAACCCGGCUAUGCGGGACUUACCUUUUUUCAUAAAACUUAGAAAUAAUAGAAUAAAUAUGCAUUUUAAUGAGCCUGUAUUUAUUCCAAAUGUUUUCUUGUUAAAAUAAGAUCAGCGGGGCAUAUAUUUUAUUACCAUGGACAUGUAGACAUUCCCAAUUUAUUUCUCUUUUCUUUGUAAAUUUUCCCCAUCAUUCUCUAUUCUUCAUUUAUUUUAGCAUCCCAUCAUUCUCCAAUCUUAAUAUUUUGAUAAGAUGUUUCCUCUUGUCCUUACUUCUCUGAUUUCAAAUAUGCCGUUAUUCCGAUACUCUUUUGUAUGAAUGAAGGACAGUGCCAGAAAGUCACAGGACAAAAAGUCACAAUUCAUUUUUUCUGAUUAUUUUCCUUAAACAAAAAGCACUUAUUUCUAUUCUUGAACUUUUGUAUACAAACCAACUUUGUAUACAAAAAUUAUCACAACAUAUCAAAGAUGAUCAAAUAAUUGUUACAAAAAACAAAAUGUCAAACUGGUUUGGCACUUAAAUGGCUUCAUGGUGCCAAUAAGUCUUUCUUUUGUACAUGUAUUAUCAAAAUUUAAUAAAUCUUCAUUUUUCAAAUAUAAUAACACAUUUCGUAACUUUAAUAUGAAUAUAUGUUUUAAAGAUAUUUCUCUCAUAUAUACAAACAAUUAUCAAAAGAUUAUUUCGGAUAUUUUUUUGUCUUGUGAUUUUUUGUUCUACUAAUUUUCUCUGAUUUAGCAUAAUAAAAACCGGUAGAAUGUUGUAUGACAUACAUGUAGGAAGUAAAGUUUACAAGUAAGACAAAUAGUCUAUUCAACUCUAUCUUUUUUUUAAUUUAGAAUGCCAAAGAGGAAAAGAUGUAGAAAUUAACAAAUGGAGUUAAAAAGAGAGUAAUCCUCGACCAUGAACAGCUGUUGGUACCAGUAUGGAGGAGACAUCUGUUCCAGUUUCAAUCCACACUGAAGAUGGAAAGAGAAUGAAAAAAUAUGAACGCUUAAAUUUGAUUGUCAUGCUGUUUCUUUUUUCUAGCACCAGUGAGAGGCACAGAGCAACUGAUUGCACAAGAAAUUGAGAUAUUUGCAGUCAAUGAGACACACAAUAAAGAUGAAGAAUCUUGCCAUCUCCCUUUCACUGUAUGCAAUUUAUUACAAGUUACCAUCGCUGAUACAUGUAUAUAUCCUUAGCCGUACAGAUACCGA